AUGGCGGGGGCGGAGGCGGUGGAGAGGGCGCACGAGCUCUACCGGGGCGGCCGCCACCGGGAGGCGCUCGAGCUCUACUCGGCGGCGCUGGCGGCGGCGCGGGGCCCCGCGCAGCGCAUCGCCCUGCACAGCAACCGCGCCGCCUGCUACCUCAAGCUCCACGACUUCCACAAGGCUGCAGAAGAGUGCACAUCUGUUCUCGAGUUGGAUACCGAGCAUACUGGAGCUCUCAUGCUACGUGCCCAGACUCUUGUCACUCUAAAAGAUUACCAGUCGGCUCUAUUUGAUGUGAACCGGCUAAUUGAGAUAAAUCCAUCCUCUGAAGUAUAUCGGAACCUUCAUGCGCGACUGAAGACACAGCUGUCACUAGCUCCGAUUCCAGAGUCUGAAGAGGAGUCCCUGUAUACUGAAGAAGACAAAGAAGAUCUGACACCAAAAGAGAAUACAAAGAAUGAGACUGUCGUUGUUAAGUCUGAUCAACCUUCUGCAAAACUGAUUCUUGAAAAUAAACCUGUAACAAAAGCUCUGAAGGUUGAAGUGCCUCCCAAUCUGCCUUCUAAACCCGAGGGUGGGGUAACCGUACAAAAACCAAAGGGCCAUUCAGAGCUUGAUUACAAGAAACCUUUAACAGAAGCUCCGAAGGUUCAAGUGUCUCCCAGUCUGCCUUCAAAACCCGAGUGUUGGGGCACCAUCCAAAAACCGAAGGGCCAUUCCGGGCUUGAUUACUCGAAAUGGGACAAAGUUGAGGAUGAUUCGAGUGAAGAUGACGAGGAUGAUGACGAAGAUGACUUGCCUCGGUAUAAAUUCAAAGUCAGAACCAUUGGUGUGCGUACCGUGAAGUGA
rnacentral:rRNA from 1 species